AGUGAACGCUGGCAGUAGGCCUAACACAUGCAAGUCGAACGGCAGCACAGUAAGAGCUUGCUCUUACGGGUGGCGAGUGGCGGACGGGUGAGGAAUACAUCGGAAUCUACUUUUUCGUGGGGGAUAACGUAGGGAAACUUACGCUAAUACCGCAUACGACCUACGGGUGAAAGCAGGGGAUCUUCGGACCUUGCGCGAUUGAAUGAGCCGAUGUCGGAUUAGCUAGUUGGCGGGAUAAAGGCCCACCAAGGCGACGAUCCGUAGCUGGUCUGAGAGGAUGAUCAGCCACACUGGAACUGAGACACGGUCCAGACUCCUACGGGAGGCAGCAGUGGGGAAUAUUGGACAAUGGGCGCAAGCCUGAUCCAGCCAUACCGCGUGGGUGAAGAAGGCCUUCGGGUUGUAAAGCCCUUUUGUUGGGAAAGAAAAGCAGCAGGUUAAUACCCCGCUGUUCUGACGGUACCCAAAGAAUAAGCACCGGCUAACUUCGUG
rnacentral:rRNA from 1 species